rnacentral:rRNA from 1 species
GACGGAGGAUGCAAGUGUUAUCCGGAAUCACUGGGCGUAAAGCGUCUGUAGGUGGUUCGAAAAGUCCACUGUUAAAAAUUGAGGCUUAACUUCAAAGAUGCCGUGGAAACUUUCAAACUAGAGUAUGGUAGGGGUAGAGGGAAUUUCCAGUGGAGCGGUGAAAUGCGUAGAUAUUGGAAAGACCACCGAUGGCGAAGGCACUCUACUGGGCCAUUACUGACACUGAGAGACGAAGGCUAGGGGAGCAAAUGGG